rnacentral:rRNA from 1 species
UACGGGGGGGCAAGCGUUGUUCGGAAUUACUGGGCGUAAAGGGCUCGUAGGUGGCCAACUAAGUCGGACGUGAAAUCCCUCGGCUUAACCGGGGAACUGCGUCCGAUACUGGAUGGCUUGAGUUUGGGAGAGGGAUGCGGAAUUCACGGUGUAGCAGUGAAAUGCGUAGAGAUUACAAGGAACACCAAUGGCGAAGGCAGCUUGCUGGGCCACUCCUGACACUGAGGCACGAAAGCGUGGGUAGCAAACAGG